AUAUUGUUCUUGGCCUUUUGGCUAAGAUCAAGUGUAGUAUUUGUUCUUAUCAGUUACAUACCGGUGGAGAAGCCCCACCGGUGUGUGGCUGGUGGAGAUGGGUGCUGCAUGGAGGGGGCAGGUCCUGAUGUGACCUGUUUCCUCCGGGUCUCGCCAUGAGGUUGGGAGGUGUAGAGCCGAGGUAAUUCUGU